UUUUUCCCAUCUUGGAUCCAUCCCCUUUCAGAUUGCCACCGCAGCGACGGGUUUGACCACCGCAGCCCCCACCGCAUCGUUGUCAUCGCCGUGCUCGCCUUCUCUCUGUUCGCCGGUGUCGCGUCCUCUGUCAUCGCCGUUGCUCGCCUUCCACCUCGCCGCCGUGUUGUUCCAUUGACACACGUAGGGCAAGGAUUCAUGCCUAAACCAAUAGUGUAGACGAGGUUUCUAUCAACUUUGAGAGGAACAAGAGUAGGGUAUUGAUCAGAGUUUAGGCUUCUGAGUUUUUUGUUGAGACUCUGUGCAAAAGAUGAGUCAUUUCUGGCAGGAAGUUGAAGUUGAGGAAGAGAAGGGAUCAGUGUUUGAGAUGCCUUUGUAUUGGAAUAUAGCUGUGGUGGUUUUGUUGUCAA